UACAGAGGGUGCGAGCGUUGUCCGGAAUCACUGGGCGUAAAGGGCGCGUAGGUGGCCCGACAAGUCAGUGGUGAAAGUUCGACGCUUAACGUCGAAUCGGCCACUGAUACUGUUGGGCUGGAGCACUGUAGAGGCUCAUGGAAUUCCGGGUGUAGCGGUGGAAUGCGUAGAGAUCCGGAAGAACACCGGUGGCGAAGGCGGUGAGCUGGGCAGUUGCUGACACUGAGGCGCGACAGCGUGGGGAGCAAACAGG
rnacentral:rRNA from 1 species